CUGAGGCGGAAAAAACCAUGUGAAAAAUGAUCGUACUCUCGAAGACACCGUCGAAGAAAAUCUUUCACUCGACGCUGGAAAUGCUGUCGCUGGACAAGGACGUAGCGUCCACCUUUCAGCCGAAAGCUACGGAAAGUGUCGCAGCUAGACAACAAACAUUCGAUGGCGCGUUCAACGGGCAAGAGUACUUCUACCCGUUGAUCAUCGCCUCGAUUGGAUUGACCGUGUUUCUGGUGACUGUCGCUGUCGUCCUGGUGCGGAAACAUCGCAUCAAGCGGGAGGAUAGCGCCAACAAAGCCAGCAGCAUAUUGGUUUAUCCAUCGCAACAAGGAUCUCUCCAACCGCAAUUCUUGACUAAGGAAAUUCACUUCAGUUUACCGCCAUUGAGGAGUACUUCGUUGGGAGAUCUGCAUGAGACCGAACAGGACUCUGAUGUUGACAUUGAAACUGAAUCUCUGUUGCCAACUACUCAACAUAACCAAAGAUCACAUUCUUUCAGUUGCUAUGGCCUAGGAGUAAUUGAACCAGCUCUAUACAAGAAUACCCUGGACUUGGAUGAUAUUCAAUGGCCGGAUGGACAUAUUGGACGAAUCUGGUUCUCCUUACGAUACGAACCAUCAACUGAAAAACUUCUGGUAUCCCUGCUAAAGGCCAAGAACUUACCAUCAAGAACCCUGGGAACUGUCAACAGUUGUGAUCCAUAUGUCAGAUUGCACUUGAUGCCAGAUGAAAGACGAUACUUACAGUCAAAGCAAAAAAAGAAGACCUGCAAUCCAUACUUUGAUGAAACACUGGUCUUUCAUGUGUCUCCGAAAGAUAUGUCCGAUCAUUAUUUGAAGUUAACGGUGAUUGAUGGCGGACGGACCAAGCGGCGUGCUGAAAUCGGCCACGUCACCUAUCUCCUCAAGGAAUUGGAAAUCGGAGACGGGUCUGAACAGCAACUCUUCAAGCUUGACUUGGAAAAGGAAACUACAGAAAUUCGAUCGGAUCUGGGUGAGCUUCUCAUUUCAUUGGUAUAUAAUGAAAACCUGUGUCGUCUGACCGCUACUGUCAUCGAGGCUCGUCGACUCAAGUUUCAGGGUGACAAGCACGAGGCCUACGUCCGCCUGACAUUGAAUCAGCACUACAAGUCGGUGAAGGAGAAGCGGACGCGCGUGGUGCGCAGCGCUCAGGAGUCCGUCGCCACCUUCACCGAGGGCUUCAACUUCAAGCUGACGCCCUCGCAGAUGGACAUCACCAGCCUGGCGUUCCACAUCUUCCAGUCGACGAGUGGUUAUGGUAGGGAUAAAUUGAUUGGCAAAUGCGUGCUGGGAUCGUACAUGUUCGCCAGGGGCAAGGCGCUCAUUCACUGGAAUACCGCGAUGGCGAACUCCAUGGAACAAUCGCAGCAAUGGCACGUGCUUUGCGAAUGAGGAGGCUAGCUCCGAGCAUACAUACAUUUUAGCCAAGUUUUCUCUGUCCUUCAUUAGCGCCAUCGGGCGGAUAGCGAAUCACAUAAUAUUUACCUUUACCGAGUGCCCGAUUUCCCGAGAAAAUCGUGUUUACCUACCAGCAAAUCUCCGGCCUGCUCCUUGAAUGCAACACACGCCGCCUGGCUGCCAGCGGUGCAAAAGGACGUCCCAGCUGAUCGGUGAUCACUCCCGCUACUGAAAAUCAGUUGCUCCGUCGCGACGCUCCAUGCCAGACGCGUUCCAUCGACGCAUGCAUAAAACUUUUGGCGCUGCGUGUUCAGAUUACUCCACGAAUAUUUCUACAAUUUGGUGAAUCUUCCGGAAGAAUUCCUCGGGCGUAGACAACUCUAACAGAUUCGAGCAUGGACGAGGCAGUUCACGCAUUCCGCAACAGCAACCUCAACUCCAACUCCAACGAGACUUUCCUGGUGAAGCGCACCGAUGAUCCCAAGUACUUCUAUGUCGCCAUUGCGAGUUUAAUCGUCUUCCUAUUAAUCUCUAUCAUCACAACUGUCUUGCUAUGUGUCACCCUGAAGAACGAGCCGAUUCUCUGGGAGGCCGACGUGGAGAAACCUCCGGAACCGUCUGGAACCGCUGAUGAAGUCGCUGAUUCUUUUGAAGAACAUGAGCGUGAAUGCGAGGAUGAAAACAACGUUUAGUAACAUUCCACAAACUAUGACUAUAAUAUUACUCUCUCAAUGGAUGCUACAAAGUUGUUUUAAUAUAUUUGUAAAUGCACAUAAUA